UAGGGAAUCUUCGGCAAUGGACGAAAGUCUGACCGAGCAACGCCGCGUGAGUGAAGAAGGUUUUCGGAUCGUAAAACUCUGUUGUUAGAGAAGAACAAGGGUGAGAGUAACUGUUCACCCCUUUACGGUAUCUAACCAGAAAGCCACGGCUAACUACGNGCCAG
rnacentral:rRNA from 1 species